rnacentral:rRNA from 1 species
CCAGACUCCUACGGGAGGCAGCAGUGGGGAAUAUUGCACAAUGGGCGAAAGCCUGAUGCAGCAACGCCGCGUGAAGGAAGACGGUUUUCGGAUUGUAAACUUCUGUUCUUAGUGAAGAAUAAUGACGGUAACUAAGGAGCAAGCCCCGGCUAACUACGUGCCAGCAGCCGCGGUAAUACGUAGGGGGCAAGCGUUGUUCGGAAUGACUGGGCGUAAAGGGUGUGUAGGUGGUUUGAUAAGUUAGAUGUGUAAUACCCAGGGCUUAACUCGGGUGCUGCAUCUAAAACUGUUAGACUUGAGUACUGGAGAGGAUAGUGGAAUUCCUAGUGUAGCGGUGGAAUGCGUAGAUAUUAGGAGGAACAUCAGUGGCGAAGGCGACUAUCUGGACAGCAACUGACACUGAGGCACGAAAGCGUGGGGAGCAAACAGGAUUAGAUACCCCCGUACA